UUCACCAGGGCCCCGUACUCAUUCAACACCUUCCAUACCGGUGCUGACAGCAGGCCAGAGUGGGCUCUACAGUCCCCAGUACAUCUCAUAUAUACCUCAGAUCCACAUGGGACCAGCUGUGCAGGCACCUCAGAUGUAUCCAUAUCCUGUAUCCAAUUCGGUGCCUGGGCAGCAGGGCAAGUACCGGGGUGCAAAAGGUGAGCAGGGUUGGGAAGGGCAGCUGGGGCUGCCUAGUGCCUCUUGGCAAGCGAAGACACCUGAGCUUUGCACUGUCUACCCUCCACCCACAGGCUCACUUCCCCCCCAGCGCUCUGACCAACACCAACCAGCCUCAGCCCCUCCAAUGAUGCAGGCUGCUGCUGCUGCUGCUGGCCCACCCUUGGUGGCUGCCACACCUUAUUCCUCCUACAUCCCUUACAACCCACAGCAGUUCCCAGGCCAGCCUGCCAUGAUGCAGCCCAUGGCACACUACCCUUCACAGCCGGUGUUCGCCCCUAUGCUUCAAAGUAAUCCACGAAUGUUGACAUCGGGAAGCCAUCCCCAGGCCAUCGUGUCAUCCUCCACUCCUCAGUACCCUUCUGCAGAGCAGCCUACCCCCCAAGCCCUUUAUGCCACUGUUCACCAGUCCUAUCCACACCAUGCCACGCAGCUCCAUGGCCACCAGCCUCAGCCGGCCACCACUCCUACUGGGAGCCAACCACAAUCCCAGCAUGCGGCCCCCAGUCCCGUUCAGCACCAGGCGGGGCAGGCCCCACACCUGGGCAGUGGACAACCACAGCAGAAUCUGUACCAUCCAGGGGCCCUAACAGGCACGCCACCUUCUCUACCACCGGGACCUUCUGCCCAGUCCCCUCAAAGCAGCUUCCCCCAGCCAGCUGCUGUGUAUGCCAUCCAUCCCCACCAGCAGCUGCCCCACGGCUUCACCAACAUGGCCCAUGUUACCCAGGCCCAUGUCCAAACUGGAGUCACAGCAGCCCCGCCCCCACACCCUGGGGCUCCCCACCCGCCCCAGGUGAUGCUGCUGCACCCCCCCCAGGGCCAUGGGGGCCCCCCCCAAGGCGCGGUGCCCCCGAGUGGGGUGCCUGCACUCUCAGCUUCCACACCCUCACCCUACCCCUACAUCGGACACCCCCAAGGUGAGCAGCCUGGCCAGGCGCCUGGAUUUCCAGGAGGAGCCGAUGACAGGAUUCGUGAGUUCUCGUUAGCUGGGGGAAUUUGGCAUGGAAGAGCUGAGGGGCUGCAGGUGGGGCAGGAUGCACGGGUUCUGGGUGGGGAUUGAGGGGUCUUGGAGGCAGGGCUGUCCCAGAGGGCGCCCGCCGACCCACACCUGUCUGUGAAGUAUGUAGGGUGGGCAGAAGCCACAGUCGCCGCCGCCAGGGGCUUGCUCCUGGCUCUGUCCUUUGCUUCCCUCCGUCCUCGCUCAGUUGUGAUCCAGCAGCCCCCCUCCCCACUGCCUCCCCAGCUCUCAGUGACCCCGACUGUCUCCUGACUUAGCCGAGCUCCCCUUCCACCCCCCGGGGAACUGAAGAUUGUCCUGGCCGCGACCUGAGACCUCCAUGAGUGGAGGGAAGAGUGAUCUAUGUCUCUUCCCCCAGCAGCUGGGACCAGUCCUAGCCCCGCCCCCAACCCCUUUCCCUUGGGGAGUUGGGGAAUUCCUGCCAAGCACCUUGAACGGGAGGGGUCCUUCAAGUGGGCCGGGCUGGGGUCCAGCGGGGGUGGGGGAGGUUCCUGCUCUGUCCCUGCUGGGUCCCACCCAGUCUUGUCCUCCCAUCCUCUCAUCUAUUCCCCACCCCGCUGGAGACGGAAGAUCUUUUAUUUUCUAUUAUUUAUAACCUCAGACUUGGGCCCCCUGUUCUUCUCCAUUAACUUGAGUGUCCUGUGUGAGAGACCGACAGACAGAUGCCUCAAGGACUUUUACUUUUUAUUACAUAAAAAAUUUAAAAAAAAUAAAAAAAUAAAAUUUUAAACUAACUU
rnacentral:lncRNA from 1 species